UGGGGAAUAUUGCACAAUGGGCGCAAGCCUGAUGCAGCCAUGCCGCGUGUGUGAAGAAGGCCUUCGGGUUGUAAAGCACUUUCAGCGAGGAGGAAGGUGGUGAGCUUAAUACGCUCAUCAAUUGACGUUACUCGCAGAAGAAGCACCGGCUAACUCCGUGCCAGCAGCCGCGGUAAUACGGAGGGUGCAAGCGUUAAUCGGAAUUACUGGGCGUAAAGCGCACGCAGGCGGUUUGUUAAGUCAGAUGUGAAAUCCCCGGGCUCAACCUGGGAACUGCAUUUGAAACUGGCAAGCUAGAGUCUCGUAGAGGGGGGUAGAAUUCCAGGUGUAGCGGUGAAAUGCGUAGAGAUCUGGAGGAAUACCGGUGGCGAAGGCGGCCCCCUGGACGAAGACUGACGCUCAGGUGCGAAAGCGUGGGGCAGCAAACAGGAUUAGAUACCCUGGUAGUCCACGCUGU
rnacentral:rRNA from 1 species